rnacentral:rRNA from 1 species
UACAGAGGUCUCAAGCGUUGUUCGGAUUCACUGGGCGUAAAGGGUGCGUAGGUGGCGAGGUAAGUCGGAUGUGAAAGCUCGGAGCUCAACUCCGAAAUGGCAUUGGAAACUACCUUGCUAGAGGGUCGGAGGGGGGACUGGAAUUCUUGGUGUAGCAGUGAAAUGCGUAGAUAUCAAGAGGAACACCAGUGGCGAAGGCGAGUCCCUGGACGACUCCUGACACUGAGGCACGAAAGCUAGGGGAGCAAACAGG